rnacentral:rRNA from 1 species
ACGAGCGCAACCCUCGUUUUUAGUUGCCAGUCAUUAAGUUGGGCACUCUAGAGAGACUGCCGGAUGACAAACCGGAGGAAGGUGGGGAUGACGUCAAGUCAGGCAUGCCCCUUACGUCCUGGGCUACACACGUACUACAAUGCUACGGACAAAGGGCAGCCAGACAGCGAUGUCGAGCAAAUCCCAUAAACCGUGGCUCAGUUCAGAUCGCAGGCUGCAACCUCGCCUGUCGUGAAGGUGGAAUCGCUAGUAAUCCCAGAUCAGCAGUGCUGGGGUGAAUACGUUGCCCGGGCCUUGUACACACCGCCCCGUCACACCAUGGAAGUUGGCACACGCCC